rnacentral:rRNA from 1 species
UACAGAGGGGGCAAGCGUUAUUCGGAAUUAUUGGGCGUAAAGGGCGCGUAGGCGGCUUUUCAAGUGACGGGUGAAGGCCCUCGGCUUAACCGAGGAACUGCCUGUCAGACUGGAAGGCUUGAGACCGGGAGAGGUGAGUGGAAUUCCCAGUGUAGCGGUGAAAUGCGUAGAUAUUGGGAGGAACACCAGUGGCGAAGGCGGCUCACUGGACCGGAACUGACGCUGAGGCGCGAAAGCGUGGGGAGCAAACAGG